rnacentral:pre_miRNA from 1 species
ACUUGGAUAAAGUGCUUUAUUUUGUGGAUAAUGCUGAAAUAAGGACUUUAUCCAUGGAA